GGCGGCAGGCCUAACACAUGCAAGUCGGACGGCAGCACGGGCUUCGGCCUGGUGGCGAGUGGCGGACGGGUGAGUAGCGCUUGGGAAUCUGCCUGGCAUUGGGGGAUAACUCGGGGAAACUCGAGCUAAUACCGCAUACGCCCUGAGGGGGAAAGCAGGGGACCUGCUUGCAGGCCUUGCGAUGCUGGAUGAGCCCAAGCCGGAUUAACUGGUUGGUGGGGUAAAGGCCUACCAAGGCGACGAUCCGUAGCUGGUCUGAGAGGAUGAUCAGCCACACUGGGACUGAGACACGGCCCAGACUCCUACGGGAGGCAGCAGUGGGGAAUAUUGGACAAUGGGGGCAACCCUGAUCCAGCCAUGCCGCGUGUGUGAAGAAGGUCUUAGGAUUGUAAAGCACUUUAAGUCAGGAGGAAGUGCCGCUGGCGAAUACCUGGCGACAUUGACGUUACUGACAGAAUAAGCACCGGCUAACUUCGUGCCAGCAGCCGCGGUAAUACGAAGGGUGCGAGCGUUAAUCGGAAUUACUGGGCGUAAAGCGCGCGCAGGCGGUUCGAUAAGAAGGUUGUGAAAUCCCCGGGCUCAACCUGGGCACUGCAUUUUUAACUGUCGGGCUAGAGUACGGUAGAGGGUGGUGGAAUUUCCCGUGUAGCGGUGAAAUGCGUA
rnacentral:rRNA from 1 species